CCUACGGGAGGCAGCAGUGGGGAAUUUUGGACAAUGGGCGAAAGCCUGAUCCAGCAAUGCCGCGUGGAUGAAGAAGGUCUUCGGAUUGUAAAGUCCUUUCGGCGGGGACGAUAAUGACGGUACCCGCAGAAAAAGCCCCGGCUAACUUCCUGCCAGCAGCCGCGGUAAUACGAAGGGGGCUAGCGUUGCUCGGAAUGACUGGGCGUAAAGGGCGCGUACGCGGGUUGGUUAGUUAGACGUGAAAUUCCCGGGCUCUACCUGGGGACUGCGUUUAAGACACCCAGACUUGAGUGAGGAAGAGGGUCGUGGAAUUCCCAGUGUAGAGGUGAAAUUCGCAUAUAUUGGGAAGAACACCGGUGGCGAAAGCGGCGACCUGUGCCUUUACUGACGCUGAGGCGCGAAAGCGUGGGGAGCAAACAGGAUUAGAUACCCCUGUAGUCCACUCUGUAAACGAUGUGUGCUGGAUGUUGGGUAACCUACUUACUCAGUGUCGUAGCUAACGCGAUAAGCACACCGCCUGGGGAGUACGGCCGCAAGGUUGAAACUCAUAGGAAUUGACGGA
rnacentral:rRNA from 1 species